UACGUAGGUGGCAAGCGUUGUCCGGAUUUACUGGGCGUAAAGAGCGCGCAGGCGGUCGUCCAAGUCGCGUGUGAAAGCCCCCGGCUCAACUGGGGAGGGUCACGCGAUACUGGUCGACUCGAAGGCAGGAGAGGGUAGUGGAAUUCCUGGUGUAGCGGUGAAAUGCGCAGAUAUCAGGAAGAACACCCGUGGCGAAGGCGGCUCUCUGGGACGGUACUGACGCUGAGACGCGAAAGCGUGGGGAGCGAACAGG
rnacentral:rRNA from 1 species